rnacentral:rRNA from 1 species
GGGUGACCGGCCAUGCCCGCGUGUGUGAGAAGGCUUUCGGGUUGUAAAGCACUUUCGCCCAGGAGGAAGGCCCUAAGGCUAAUAUACCCCUUGCGGAUUGACGCCUACAUCGCAGAACAACCACCGGCUAACUCCGUGCCAGCAGCCGCGUGUAAUACGGAGGGUGCAUGCGUUAAACGGAAUUACUGGGCGUAAAGCGCGCGUAGGUGGUUGGGUAAGCGAGAUGUGACAGCCCCGGGCCUUAACACUGGGAACCGCAUUUCCAACUGCCCGGCUAGAGUGUGGUAGAGGGUUGUGGAAUUUCCUGUGUAGCGGCGAAAUGCGUAGAUAUAGGAAGGAACCCCAGUGGCGAAGGCGGCUACCUGGACCAACGCUGACACUGAGGUGCGAAAGCGUGGGGAGCAAACCGGAUUAGAUACCCGGGUAGUCCACGCCGUAAACGAUGUCAACUAGCCGUUGGGGC